rnacentral:rRNA from 1 species
UGCGUAGGCGGUCUGGGUAAGUCGCGUGUGAAAGCCCGGGGCUCAACCCCGGAGCUGCAUGCGAGACUGCCUGGCUCGAGCGCGGUAGAGGCGGGCGGAAUUCCUGGUGUAGCGGUGGAAUGCGUAGAGAUCAGGAAGAACACCGGUGGCGAAGGCGGCUCGCUGGGCCGUUGCUGACGCUGAGGCACGAAAGCGUGGGGAGCAAACAGGAUUAGAUACCCUGGUAGUCCACGCCCUAAACGAUGGACACUAGGCGUCGGGGGGAGCGACCCUCCCGGUGCCGUCGCUAACGCAAUAAGUGUCCCGCCUGGGGAGUACGGCCGCAAGGCUGAA